UACAGAGGGUGCAAGCGUUAAUCGGAAUUACUGGGCGUAAAGCGUGCGUAGUCGGUUAUCUAAGUCGGGUGUGAAAUCCCCGGGCCCAACCUGGGAAUUGCAUUCGAUACUGGAUAGCUAGAGUUCGGCAGAGGGAAGCGGAAUUUCGGGUGUAGCGGUGAAAUGCGUAGAUAUCGGGAGGAACACCGGUGGCGAAGGCGGCGACCUGGGUCAAAACUGACGCUGAGGCGCGAAAGCGUGGGGAGCAAACAGG
rnacentral:rRNA from 1 species